AUUGAACGCUGGCGGCAGGCCUAACACAUGCCAGUCGAACGGUAACAGGAAGAAGCUUGCUUCUUUGCUGACGAGUGGCGGACGGGUGGGUAAUGUCUGGGAAACUGCCUGAUGGAGGGGGAUAACUACUGGAAACGGUAGCUAAUACCGCAUAACGUCGCAAGACCAAAGAGGGGGACCUUCGGGCCUCUUGCCAUCGGAUGUGCCCAGAUGGGAUUAGCUAGUAGGUGGGGUAACGGCUCACCUAGGCGACGAUCCCUAGCUGGUCUGAGAGGAUGACCAGCCACACUGGAACUGAGACACGGUCCAGACUCCUACGGGAGGCAGCAGUGGGGAAUAUUGCACAAUGGGCGCAAGCCUGAUGCAGCCAUGCCGCGUGUAUGAAGAAGGCCUUCGGGUUGUAAAGUACUUUCAGCGGGGAGGAAGGGAGUAAAGUUAAUACCUUUGCUCAUUGACGGUACCCGCAGAAGAAGCACCGGCUAACUCCGUG
rnacentral:rRNA from 1 species